rnacentral:rRNA from 1 species
GAUGAACGCUGGCGGCGUGCCUAACACAUGCAAGUCGAGCGAUUUACUUCGGUAAAGAGCGGCGGACGGGUGAGUAACGCGUGGGUAACCUGCCCUGUACACACGGAUAACAUACCGAAAGGUAUGCUAAUACGAGAUAAUAUACUUUUAUCUCAUGGUAGAAGUAUCAAAGCUCUGGCGGUACAGGAUGGACCCGCGUCUGAUUAGCUAGUUGGUAAGGUAACGGCUUACCAAGGCGACGAUCAGUAGCCGACCUGAGAGGGUGAUCGGCCACAUUGGAACUGAGACACGGUCCAAACUCCUACGGGAGGCAGCAGUGGGGAAUAUUGCACAAUGGGCGAAAGCCUGAUGCAGCAACGCCGCGUGAGCGAUGAAGGCCUUCGGGUCGUAAGCUCUGUCCUCAAGGAAGAUAAUGACGGUACUUGAGGAGGUAAGCCCGGCUAACUACGUGCCAGCAGCCGCGGUAAACUGUACGUCGU